AGAGAGAGAGAGAAAGAGAGAGAGAGAGAGAGAGAGAGAGAGAGAGUGAUUACGCGACUCACGGUUGUAAUAUACUGUAAGUGAGCGUCGCGAUCGAGACUUGAACGAUGAUCGUGUUGCCGGUGCGCGUUUCAUAGGGGAAAAAAAUAGCGAGAAAAUGUGAGUGAAAGAGAGAAUGAGAGAGAGAGAGAGAGAGAGAGAGAGAGAGAGAGAGAGCGAAAGAGAGUGUGUGAGUGAGAGAGAGAGAGAGAGAGAGAGAGAGAGAGAGAGCCGCACGAAGAGGGGUGAUAGUAAUAACGAAAGUUUAAGGGGUAUGAAAGAUCCUUUUCUCUUCUCUCUCCUCUUCACACACGCAUACCUACGCUCGUGCGCGCACGUAAGCACACACACAGAUAUACGUAACACACAUACACCUGUCCUCGUUCUAAGGAUUAUUAACGAAAAAGGUACAUGAUUACGUAUACAUCCACAAACCCCAUACACGUUAACAUACAAACACAUGUCAUACACGGACACAUAUAUACAUACAUACAUAUAUACAUACAUACGUACAUACGUACAUACGUACACAGGACAAACAUAAACAUACAGUUUAUUAUAAUAUAUUGUGUAUAAAUAGUUAAUUGAAUUGCGAAUCGAAGUGAUGUAAGAAGAAGGGACAAAUAAGCCGAGCAUAAUUCGAUUGGGCUAGCCGUCCUAAGGACAGACGGAAAAUAUGAACGAGCUUACGAGAGAGAUUAAAAGAGAGAGAUAGAGAGAGAGAGAGAGAGAGAGAGAGAGAGAGAGAGAGAGAGAGAGAGAGAGAGAGAUAGAGAGAAAAAGAGAAAGAUUGAGAGAGAAAUAGAGAGAGAAAGAGAGAAAGGAAGAGAGAAACGAAAGUAUAUGAUAAGAAAAGUAUCGUUUCUUUUUUUUUAAACGCGUGAGGCCAUCUCUAUUAUGCCGAGAUAUGCGAUUUCUUUCAAAAUUUCCUAGCGAUCUCUCUCGAGUGUUUAAUGAAUCGAUAUAUAGUUGAUUAGACAACGAGUUCGCGAACGUCGUAUAAAGGGGGUGGGGGUUUGAGGAGGAAGGGAAAGUAAAAAAAAGAAAAACACAAGGGAAGCAAAAAGAAAAAAAAAAGGAAAAAGAAAAAACAAAGAAAAAGAAAAAAAAAGAAGAAGAAGAAGAAGAAGAAAAGACGAAUAGAUGCGAAGAAUUUUUCACGCUUUUAAUCCUUAUUCUUUCCUUUGACCGAGAGAAUUAUUAAUAUUCAUGGCACUUUAGAUUUUCUCAUUCCAAUUCCUUUUUCUUCCGUUUUGUUUAGAGAAAAUGGACGAUGAAAAAAAAGUCUCCCCGAGGAAGAUCGCUAAAAAAAAAAAAAAGAAAAAAAAAAGAAAAAAAAAUGAACGAGCGAUUUUUUAAUGCCUGCCCCUUUUGGCACGACUGGUGGUGGUCUCCUUUAAUGUUUCUAAACCGAUCGCUCCUCCAUCUCCACCUCCACCCUCCCACCCCCACCCCUUUGGCCCAUCGUCUCCUUUCCCUUACCAUUACCUUUAACCUUACCUUUAAUCCUUUCGUCGUCGCUUCUAAUUUUAUUUUCUCGAAAACGUUCACGUUUUCUUGAUAAUUUCAAAAUAUUCCCAGAUUUAUUUUGGGGUCUAAUAGAUGCAGCACACGUCGUCCAUUAGUAAGAAGCAUCAACACACACAUUUACAAAACACAUAAGAAUGACGUUUAUUAAAUUAGAUAUAAAAAUAUCGAGAGAGAGAGAGAGAGAGAGAGAGAGAGAAAGAAAGAGAGAGAGCAUCGCACAAUCACCUUCCUUAGAGCCUGUAUUUAUAUCUCUUCCAAUAUCGCUUUGUCUCUUUGUAACACGACGAUCGGAGAUGUCUAUAUUUAUGUACGAAUCUUAUCGUGCGAGCGCACGCGCGCACGCUCAUCCUUGAUAUACGUAAACGAAAGAAAAGAAUAAAAGGAGAAGAAGAAGAAAAAAAAAAAAGAAUAGAGAGACAGAGACAGAGUGAGAGAGAGAGAGAAAGAGAGUAAAAUAAUAUAGAAGGAGAAUGGAACAAUAAGGACGUUUGAAGAAGAAAACGGUCGUUAAUAGUAUAAACAUUUCUUAUCAUUAUCGAAAAAUAAUGAUGAAUUUUUCGAGGAAUACUCUUUAAUCGACGAUACGUUUUGUCAUGUAUACGAAAUCCAAUAGAUAAACAAAACUGAAUAAAGUAAAAUUAAAUAAAAAAGAAAGAGAGAAAGAGAGAGAGAGAGAGAGAGAGAGAGAGAGAGAGAGAAAGAUAGAGAAAGAGAGAGAGAGAGAGAGAGAAAAAGAAAGAAGAGAAAAGGAAUUUUUAAUUAAAUCGACCGUCGAGAUCAUCACGCGAAAUAGAUAUCGGAGAGACACGGUGAAGGAUGCUUUUUUUCUCUCUCAAUCUUUUUCUCUUUCUCUAUUUCUUCCUCUUUUUCUCUCUCUCUCUCUCUCUCUCUCUCUCUCUCUCUUUCCUUCUCUUUCUGUUUCUCUCUUUCUCUCUCUUUCUUUCUCUAGAGCGGGCGAAUUUUCGUUUCGACGAUCGCGAACGAUGCGAUGCUCGACGCGACUCGUACCGAAUUGUCCAUGGCUAUCGAUCGCGUUCGUCCGAAUCGACGAGAAGAGGACCGUGAGGGAACGGAGAGACGGAGAAUUCGAGAAAGAGAGAAACAAAAUGAGAAAAAAAAAAAAAAAGAAAUAAUAAAAAAACAAAAGUUUACCGAUAUUUUCAAUACGCCCCGCAUACAUAUACAUACGUACGUACGCACACACAAAGGACACGCAUUAUUGUAUAAAGAGAAGAGAAGUAGUAAACAAGAGAAAGAGAAAGAGAAAGAGAAAGAGAGAGAGAGAGAGAGAGAGAGAGAGAGAGAGAGAGAGAAAGAGUGAGAGAAAAAAAAACGUAUGCGUGGGAAUGAACGCAUUUUGAGAAGACAGAAAUUUGGCGGCCCUUGUAUUUGUGUGUAUCGCGUGAUUGCCAUUGAGAAAGAUCCGAGAGUAAGCGAGAGUGUGAGAGGUGAAAUAAUGUAUAAUUAUUGUAUAAUCACGGACGAUGAUGAUAACGACUACGGCCGUCGGCGAUAACGACGAUGAUCGUAAUGAUGACGAUAACGACGUAUACGCGUGCGUCGUCGGCGAAGAUCACACGGCUUCGUUUAUUAUUAUGAUCGCGAGUGUUGAACGAUUAUGAUAACGACGAUUACGACGACGACGUAGACGACGACGACGACGACGACAAAGACGACGAUAUGGAUGAUGAUUAUGAUGAUGUAAGUUAAAAAUUUAUUCUAUAUCGGUAUGGAAAUUCAGAUUUUUUCAACUGUUUUGCGUAUUGAUGACCCAUUGACACCCUUAAAAAGUUAAGAAAAAAAAAAAAGAAA